rnacentral:misc_RNA from 1 species
GGUAUUUAAUUCUUUUUGGGAAUCGUUUUUUAUGUUACAAUCUAGACUAAAAUUAUCGUCUAGUCGGGAAUUGUUAACAUUAGGCAAAUGAUUAACAUCGAUUCCAUGAAUUAUUAUUUCUUCGGGGGGGUUUUCUUGUUGGGAUUGAGCAUUUCGAACCUCGCCGUGCAGGUCGAGGCUAUUUUCUGAGUGGGGUGGGGAGGGAUAAUAACCGCGUUGCUUCAUCGGAAGAUUUCCCGUAUUCUGUAGCAGCUCUUCCUCACGCUGAUCCUGAUCUUCUUCAUCAUUCUGCUGCCCCUUGUGUGGCUGCAGAUUUGUCAAUUUUGCUGGCGCAUGGAAGGGCGGUCGCUGCUGCGGCGGUCGAUAUUCAACUCCAUCCUCAUUAAUCCACCGGGCUAGCUGUAGUUGAGCUUGAAUAAAU